AUAUAGAAAUUCUGGAUUCAACGUAUUAAAAUCUAUAAUUGCUUUUUAUUUGUUGAACAUUGUGUUGAUUGGUGUAAUUUAAAGAAUUUUCAAAAGAUUGAGAAACAGGACAAAUAAAAAUUAAAUUAUUUCGAUCUACAAAUUUUGUUCAAGUUUCAAGAUAAAAGUAUAUGUUACACAGACGUAAAUAUCCUGUUGAUGAGACAAAAGUGACCUACAUUGACCUAUAAAAAAAAGGAGGACGAACAACAAGAUAAAGUUGCUCAGUUAGGCCCCCUGCGAUAUGAACUACCACGAAUUCGGUGCUUUAUCGUUGCAUGCGACCCACUGCUGAAAAGCUUUAGCUCGAACGGAGACCGAAGUUUGCGCAUAACCAGUGAUGCCGGUAUCUGUUCACAUUAGCGCGUCAGUGUGAAUGGGCGGACUUCAAGCUGAGUCAACAGACAUCGCUUACGUGGUCUGGUAAUUUCUCCCCGGCGGCAAAAUCACGCGCUCACAACAAUGAGAAUGUCCCUGACAGCCAUGCUCCUUCAAUCCGGGGGGGCCUUCGUCAUCAUCAGGAAGUUCCAAGUUUGUCGCCACGUUUCGAAAGGCGAUUUGGUGAAGGUCGUCGCGAGCUAGAGCUCGGAGAACACGUUUCUGCCUGUGAUGCAACUGAUAACAACAGGACGCGCAAUUUGCGUCUUCGCGUGAUACUUGAAAGGAAUGAUCGCAAAUAUCCGAGUGAAUGUAAAGAACAACGACAUUUGUGACCGUAGGCACGAGGUUUAUAAUUGGACGAGCGCGCAUUGCGAUGAUCUCGUUUGAGCGUGACAUAAUUAUCAGAGAUCGCAGGAUAGAAAAAUAAUAAAUGUCUCGUUUGUGUUGUGCACAUUCAACUGAUAUCUCUCGAUUAUGUGUCGGAUUUUUAUGAAUCGUAUUCUCAUUAGAGAGACAAUUUGUGGAAAAUUUGUAGAAAAGAGCAAUUUCGCGCGCGCGAAAGCGCGCAAUACAUCUGUUAUCAUCGAUGAUACGUGGACUUCGGUGGUUUUUAUGGUCGCGGAAUAUCACGCGCGGCGAGAAAAAAAUUCCAGAUGUUAUGUAAUUCUAUUUGGAUGUGGAUUUCAUUCGUCGCGACGACAUUUGCACCGAGCAAUUUCGCAAACGUGAUUAAUGGCUCUCGGUAAACUUUUGUAUUCGUCACCAGACCUUGUCUAAAUACAUCGUAAUUAACCAACGCUAAUUGGAUACUACGAUGUUUCUUCUUUGAUUGACAUUGGACACUAAUUUCUUCACUAAAAUUUUCAAAUUAGUCUUCUUGGUAAGAAAUUCUAUGACUAUUUUUCGAAAAACAUCGUUGCACAAGAUUUUGUAAAUUUUCUUUUCCGAAAAUUUUGAAUAAUUUAUAUUGUGCGCUUCUACAAUGCAAAUUUAUUUUGAAACAGCUGAGCUUUUGUGAGACCUUCACAUGUGAAGCAAAAAUCUAAUCUUGAAAGAUCGUCAAAGAGAGCAUCCUUUACAAAGUUGAAUAACAAAAUUAAUUUACUCCGGAAAACAAAAUUGAAUAAUUGGAAAUUACCAAACAUGAAUGACGAAAUAUGGAUUAUUAUGCGUUAUGUGUUUUAAACUAAAACUGUAAAAUACAAUAUUAUCUUAAAAGUUUUUUUUUUACUUUUUCUUUUUUUUAGUUCAGAUACCACAGACUUUGCUACAUAAUGAAAAUCAAUUUUUGUUUUCCUCUUUCUAGGUUCUAGCACGAGGAGCCGUAAACACAAAGAAGUACCGACUUCAUUAAUCGAGAUGUUUAACUCCCCGUUGUAAAUCAUAAUACCAGAAGCGAUUUAUGUGAAGACCACUUUGGUCCUGAGUGGAAAAUAUGUUUCUCGUAGACACAACAGAUGUCGUAAACGCGUACCACACGCGCGUGAGAUAAUGCUCCAUUCUCCACGGAUGAAAAGUCAGACGAGCCUCGUCCCGUUUUUCCAUCAUGCGGAGGAUGAUCGACAUCGGCGGCACAAUCGAUCGACGAACAAAACCCGGGAAACCCGUCGACUUUCUUCGAUCACAAAGGGAAGAUGGAGCCGAUGAUCCAUUGCGAUUGCAUUUCAUCGUCGGGGUGCUAAUUAAACGACAAUCUAAUCUUGUCGCGACUUCGAAUCCACAUGUCUUACAGUUUGAAAUAAACAAGUAAACAAGUUCAGGUUUAUCGAGAUCAGAUGUACCUGUUGCUAUGCGAGCGGUUCUCAAUGUCGAAGAGUAUUUGCGUCUUAUCGCAGUGUGAUUGGAAAAAGAAGAAAAUAGAAAAAAAAUGAAAGGAUUGUUUUACGAAAGCGCUAAAGUACGUGAGAGAACGCACAUUUGUUAUCAACGCUGACUUCUCGAUAACACCGCUGAGGGGGCCCUCCUACAGUAUCCACGCCUGAUAACUGAAUAAACACGAAUUUUAACGACCUUUUCGUUACUUUAAUAUCGCGGUUAAUCUUGCUUAUUUAUUUGCCACUGCUGCUCUCCGUCAUAUACUGUAAAAAAGCAUUUUCUUAUCAAAGCUUAAUAUCUCAAAAGUCUUACGAAACCGACGAGAUACUUCGCGAAUUAAUAUUAGAUUAAACAACAUUAGCGCAAUUUUUUUCAGAAAAAACUCGUGGAUUAAAUGUCUUCAAAGAAAUUACUGUUAAAUUAAUAUAUAUACAACAGGAUGAUUCGCGUGACAAAGUAAUGAAUGAAAGAUGAAGGGAUGGAGUCGUAUAAUCUUUCCUGACGACAAACCAGAUGCCAGACGGUCGAUAGCCCGUUGGAAAAAAAAAUUCAAGAUUGAUAGAGGUACACGAACGCUAUUGUCCUGCGAUCUUAACUUCGAAAAUAAUCUUCGCUGCAACGUUGUAUCCGAUCUAAACGAUCGCAUCACACCGUUCAUCUUGAAUACAUUUUAUGAAUUUUAUGAGGUGUUGCUUUCAAUCUUUUUCACCGUUGAAGAUAAAGAAAAACAAAAUUG